ACGUGUCGACCAUAGUAGAAAGGGUGGGGGGAUGGAAAUGCACUUCGUCUUCCGUUUGCUUCCUGAAACCCGAAGCUCCGAUUGCAUCCUUAACAGAGUUUCUCUCUACAACUCCUCUCCCACGGGCCUAAACCUCAACUAUGGAGGGAAGCUCGCUUCUCUUCUUCUCCCCAUUCCGCCAAAAGCCCCCCUUCAUUUUCAUUUUCGUCUCUUCUCUCAAGGCUCACCAUCUGAAGCGCCCAAAACGGGCACAUUCCCAAUCAUCCUCUUACUCUCAGCCCUCACUGCGUCAUCACCCUCGCUCCUCACCCCUCCAUGUCCCGUCCCGGCAUCCGGCUCAAUCUCAACCCCUUUACUCGGUUUAGGGCAACCCAGAACCGGGUCGAUCUCGAUUUUCAGAGAGGACCCGCCGCCCCGCCUCACAUCAACACCCCUGUCUGAGAGUGCAAUUCAGGCUUCGGCUUCAGCAGAUCAUGAUUCUCGGCUUUCUAGAUCGAUGACAAGAGGAAGUACAAAGGGAUGCAUUUGGUUCCACUUUUGAGGUUCCUUCCACGAGCAGGCACCCAAAAACUGGACUGGAAACUGUGGUAGCUGGUGAUUCAGGAAAUAGUUUGAUUUUUCAAAGCUGACACAUGUUUUAUGAAUAUCAGGCUUUGGGAUACAGUACUGUUCUAGGCUGUCGUCCAGAUUCCCAAGUACAUGUUUCCACGACGGUUUCAAAGAGGUCCUUGAGACGAUUAGAUGCUGUACUGAGCAGCCACCAUCCUAAUAAUUAAUAAGAUUAGGCAUUGAGGUAAGAGCGAGCGUCGUUCUCUUGGUCACUAGAUGCCUCGAGAAUUUAUAGUCACUCACCAAACUUGGGAUUUGAGUAAUCAUGACUAAAUUGAUUUCGUGUUACCAUGUGUUGUGCUGGUGAGAGGACUUUGGGAUGGGAGGGAGGACUAGAGAGAGACAUUUGGAUUUGAGAAAGGCAAUUGGUAUUGAAAAUUGAGAUACCAUACAGUGUAUACCAUGGCAUGGUCGGUUCCAGCUUUUGCUCUUCCUUGGUAAUUACUAUAAACACAAAUGGAUGGUGCACUCAAAUUGCUAAAACUUAAAUAAAAAAUAACAGACCCAGAUACCAAUUCGCUUUAAUCCCCAAACACCUCGAUCCGUUCCAGCUUUUUCUCUUCCUUGUUCUCAAAUGCUGGCUGACUAUUGUUACAUCUUCUCCGUGACGGUUGUACAAUUGCUGGUGGAAUGUUUCUGCUGGUGCUGCUCGUCCAAACCCACAAAGAUCUUUAAAAUAUGGUGAAAUCACUGUCACAGAUAUCUAUGUUAUCCUCGAUAGACCUGCAGAACUUAUAAAUGGGAAGUGGCGCACUACCCUCAAUGGUAUUUCAUAUAUACCACCUUCAAUGCCCCUUAAGCUUGCCCAACAGUUCAACAUUUCGGGGGUUUACAAUUUUGAUUUCCCAAAUAAACUGAUGAACAGACCUGCCAAAGUAGACACAUCUCUGAUUAAUGGUACUUUCAAAGGUUUCAUGGAAUCACCUUUCAGAACAAUGACACCACUGAUCAGAAUUACCAUUUGGAUGGCUAUGCAUUUUUCGUUGUCGGGUGACCUUUUUAGUUUUGAAAUCAUUAUCUUCAAGUUGUAGAAAGAUGACUUUUCAUUCUUUCUUAAUAUAAGCUUUCAUUACAGCUUCAGUUUCACAUCAUUUGUCAUUGGAUUUGCUAAUAUAAGUUUUUAGUGGAUAAUCUUACUGGUGAAUUGUUAAAAGGUAGGAAGAGAGUAGGCGGCCUGCGAUUUUAUAAACUAAAGUUCAGAUGCAUUUUCUGUGGUAUGGGGUGUCCGAGAGAAAGGGUUUCAGGGAUUAGGUUUGGGUGGGAUUUCAAGGAUUAGGUUCGGGGUUUUGUUUGUGCGAUUUGUAGAGAGAUGGGGGUGUCCGAGAUAGGAUUUAGGAGAUUUGUUUUAGGAAUUGCAGAGAGAGAUAGGGAGUGUCUGAGAGAAGUGUGGGAGGAUUUAGGCGGGAUUUGGUUUAGGGUUUGUUUUCUGCGAUUUGCAGAGACAGAGAGAUGGGACAACGGUGAGAGAGAGAUGGGAGGAUUUUAUGCGAGGGUUAAAGGGAACGGGUAAGGGAGGUAUGGGUAUGGGUUGUUGUGUACUCAACAUUCUCCCUUUAUUUAUUUAUUUUUUAAAUAUUUGCUUUAGCUUUAUUUGAGAGAUCAUUGUUGUGUACUAUAGUUGAUGGAAUUGAUCUGUCUGGUUCUGUGCAGGUUCUCAUUUGUAGAUUGAUUGAUAGGCCCUUGUGUCCAAGUAUGUUCAGCUUCCACCAUGAAACUCAAGAUACUCUCUUGGGUACGUUCCAUAUGAAUUUCAACUGCAUAUAUAUAUAGGUGGCUUUAGAUUUGUUAGUUCAAUAAAUUGUAAGCCUUCAUUUUAAAAUUAUCACUUAGUCUAAAAGGAGUGAGAAAUGAAGUUGGUCCUAUAGUAUGUGUCGUAGUGUCAUAAAAUCAUGUCGCAAUAGUUAUACUGCGUAAAUAUUAUAUUUAUGAAACAAUGCUGGAUUUGUUGGAUUUCUUUUCUUUUCUUUUCUUAUGCAAACAGACAAUAUUUUCUUAGAUUACAACUUUUGUGAAUAGGAACUUUUAAGUUCAUCCAUUUGAUUGUACAGUGGCUGUUGAUGUCAGCUGAAUUGAAUGCAAGUGAAAAUCAAACUGCUUUGCUUGGUUCACCCA